GAUGAACGCUGGCGGCGUGCCUAAUACAUGCGAGUCGAGCGAACGGACGAGAAGCUUGCUUUUCUGAUGUUAGCGGCGGACGGGUGAGUAACACGUGGAUAACCUACCUAUAAGACUGGGAUAACUUCGGGAAACCGGAGCUAAUACCGGAUAAUAUUUUGAACCGCAUGGUUCAAAAGUGAAAGACGGUCUUGCUGUCACUUAUAGAUGGAUCCGCGCUGCAUUAGCUAGUUGGUAAGGUAACGGCCUACCAAGGCAACGAUGCAUAGCCGACCUGAGAGGGUGAUCGGCCACACUGGAACUGAGACACGGUCCAGACUCCUACGGGAGGCAGCAGUAGGGAAUCUUCCGCAAUGGGCGAAAGCCUGACGGAGCAACGCCGCGUGAGUGAUGAAGGUCUUCGGAUCGUAAAACUCUGUUAUUAGGGAAGAACAUAUGUGUAAGUAACUGUGCACAUCUUGACGGUACCUAAUCAGAAAGCCACGGCUAACUACGUG
rnacentral:rRNA from 1 species